UUAAUUUGACUCAAGAUGGGAAAACUUACCUGGCCCGGGCACAGGAAGGAUUGACAGAUUAAGAGCUCUUUUUUGAGUCUGCGAGUGGUGGUGCAUGGCCGUUUUUAGUUGGUGGAACCAUUUGUCUGCUUAAUUCCGAUAACGAAUGAGACUCUAGCCAACUAAACAGAUGCUCUGAUUCUUUGAGUUGGAUGCUCUUCUUAGAGGGUUUUUCCGUAGAAACUUUAAUUUUAAAUGCAAUUUUUUUUACUGUUUUAACUGUAACUGUUGUUUUAUGUUUUUUCCGACU
rnacentral:ncRNA from 1 species